rnacentral:rRNA from 1 species
UACAGAGGGUGCAAGCGUUGUCCGGAUUUAUUGGGCGUAAAGAGCUCGUAGGCGGUUUCGUAAGUCGGGUGUGAAAACUCUAGGCUCAACCUAGAGACGCCACCCGAUACUGCGAUGACUAGAGUCCGGUAGGGGAGUGUGGAAUUCCUGGUGUAGCGGUGAAAUGCGCAGAUAUCAGGAGGAACACCAACGGCGAAGGCAGCACUCUGGGCCGGAACUGACGCUGAGGAGCGAAAGCGUGGGUAGCGAACAGG